GCAUGGGUUUGGAUUUAUGGCAGUCCAUCCCCCUGGGCCUAUGAUAGUGUGCCAUGCCAGAGCAAGCUGUGGCUCUGAACCAUUACCUGGCCUCUACCUGUAGGCUGCUGGCAGCUGCACAGUGUGAAAUAAAG
rnacentral:snoRNA from 1 species